AACGAACGUUGGCGGCGUGGAUGAGGCAUGCAAGUCGCACGUGAAAGUCGCAAGAUGAGUAAAGUGGCGGACGGGCGAGUAACACGUAAUCGAGCUGCCCACGGGACGGGGAUAACCUCGGGAAACCGAGGCUAAUACCCGAUGGUCUCACCGGAUCGCAUGGUCUGGUGAGUAAAUGCUGGGGUCCUUCGGGACCUGGUGCUUGUGGAGGUGAUUGCGGCCCAUCAGCUAGUUGGCGGGGUAACGGCCCACCAAGGCGAUGACGGGUAGCCGGCCUAAGAGGGUGGUCGGCCGCACUGGGACUGAGAUACUGCCCAGACUCCUACGGGAGGCUGCAGUCGAGAAUCUUCCGCAAUGGGCGAAAGCCUGACGGAGCGACGCCGCGUGGAGGACGAAGGCCU
rnacentral:rRNA from 1 species